UACGUAGGCAGCAAGCGUUGUUCGGAGUUACUGGGCGUAAAGAGUGUGUAGGCGGUUCCCCAAGUUCGGUGUGAAAUCUCCCGGCUCAACUGGGAGGGUGCGCCGGAAACUGGGGGGCUCGAGUGUGGGAGAGGAAAGCGGAAUUCCUGGUGUAGCGGUGAAAUGCGUAGAUAUCAGGAGGAACACCUGUGGUGUAGACGGCUUUCUGGACCACGACUGACGCUGAGACACGAAAGCGUGGGGAGCAAACAGG
rnacentral:rRNA from 1 species